rnacentral:tRNA from 1 species
GCGGCAUUUAGAAGUUUUGGCCGAUCUGCCUACGAACCAGAAGGUCGGGAGUUCGAAUCUCUCAGGGCGCGCCA